rnacentral:rRNA from 1 species
UUUGAUCCUGGCUCAGAUUGAACGCUGGCGGCAUGCUUUACACAUGCAAGUCGAACGGCAGCGGGGGCUUCGGCCUGCCGGCGAGUGGCGAACGGGUGAGUAAUGCAUCGGAACGUGCCCAUGUCGUGGGGGAUAACGUAUCGAAAGGUACGCUAAUACCGCAUACGUCCUGAGGGAGAAAGCGGGGGAUCGCAAGACCUCGCGCGAUUGGAGCGGCCGAUGUCGGAUUAGCUAGUUGGUGAGGUAAAGGCUCACCAAGGCGACGAUCCGUAGCGGGUCUGAGAGGAUGAUCCGCCACACUGGGACUGAGACACGGCCCAGACUCCUACGGGAGGCAGCAGUGGGGAAUUUUGGACAAUGGGCGCAAGCCUGAUCCAGCCAUGCCGCGUGAGUGAAGAAGGCCUUCGGGUUGUAAAGCUCUUUCGGCCGGGAAGAAAUCGUGUUCUCUAACAUAGGACAUGGAUGACGGUACCGGACUAAGAAGCACCGGCUAACUACGUGCCAGCAGCCGCGGUAAUACGUAGGGUGCGAGCGUUAAUCGGAAUUACUGGGCGUAAAGCGUGCGCAGGCGGUUUUGUAAGACAGAUGUGAAAUCCCCGGGCUUAACCUGGGAACUGCGUUUGUGACUGCAAGGCUGGAGUACGGCAGAGGGGGGUGGAAUUCCACGUGUAGCAGUGAAAUGCGUAGAGAUGUGGAGGAACACCGAUGGCGAAGGCAGCCCCCUGGGCCUGUACUACGCUCUCAC